GUCUUUCGUCAUACUAUCCUGAAUGUGUAUGAUCUCAUCUGCUCUUGGAAGCUAAGCAAUUUGGGCCUGAUUAGUAUGUGGAUGGGAUAAAGUCUUUUUUAAAUGUAAGUUAUAGAAGAAU
rnacentral:rRNA from 1 species